AGCUCUUCUAUGAGUCAUUUCAACCCAUCCAAGUCUACUUGUGAGAGUUCUUAUUGAAAUAGCAUCUUGUGUAGACAAAUGAGAAAAAUCACCAAACAGAGCGCAAAGCCACCAAAGUUUUGGAGGUGAUCGAAAAAAAUGAAAUUCCUACAGGCAAUCAAGUAAGGUUUCAUAUCAUAUACUCAAAAUAUAAAUUUCUCAUGGGAAGUUAAAAUUUUAGAGUUGUGCAUGCUAAGAAGUCAUUUAUGAAAGGUUUUGGCAAUACAUUUUAAUAACGUGGAUAUAAUAUGAUCAUCGUGAUAACUAUAGUAAUUUAUAAAUUAUUUUAAAUGUAUGUAAAUGUAUUCUUCUAAUCAUAUUAGGUGGGUUUACAAUAAGUACUUCACCUCUAUAUGCUAAUCUUGAACAUUGCAGGAUAUUCCUGUGGUGCCUAAAGUUGUGCAAAGUCAGAAUGCUUCACCAACAAUGUUGGAAACUAAAGGAGUAGUGAUGAAAGAUAAGGCUGAUGGAGAGCUUCCUCAGAUUUCUAUACAUAAGGAAGUUCAGAAGGAGUGGACUUGCGCUUUAUGCCAGGUGACAACAACGAGCGAGAAAACCUUGAAUGAACACCUGAAAGGGAGCAAACACAGGGCUAAGGAGAAUGAUAUGAAGGCAAAGUUUCAACCUGUUUCACAGAAGCUGAAAAGUGAUCAUUCCAAAGAGGAAAUGAAACAGAAGAACAUCAACCAUGAGCUAAAUUCCAAGACCAAGAAUGGAGAGAAACUGCAAAAGAAACCUGCUGGGACGAAUAAUUCGAAAAUAAGAUGUGAAGUCUGUAAUGUGAAAUGCUCUAGCGAGAUGGCCU
rnacentral:lncRNA from 1 species